UAUUAUUAGUUGGUUAUUUAUCAUUAGUUCAUUUUUCACUGAUGGUCGAUUAUUUAUUUAUCAUUGGCCAGACCUUUCCUGUACAAUUCAUGUAACUCUGUUUUGUGCUGAGCUAAGGAGGUUGUUAUUUAUAAUUGUUUGGUUAUUUGUUUUUGAUUUGUUAUUCACUGUUGGUUGCUUAUUAUUACGAUUGAUUUGCUAUUUUUUGUUGCUUGUAGCACAGCUCUGGCGAGCGAAGCAAGCGCUAAGAACCAGUGCAUGGUAAAAAUAACGAGCUAAACCUACGGAUUCAUCAAGAAUUUUUUUGGCAACAUCCCAUAAUGCUCUCUAAAGUUUUCUCCUGUAGUUCUAUGCCAAAAAUGGCUAAUAUUUAACUCGUAAUCAUUUACUUGUAACGUUGGGCCAACAUCUAAAUAUGCUAUGAAUUCCAACUUAGUGUUUGUUGGCGUAACAUUGUUGGGCCAUGGGUGGGCCAACGUAGGUAAAACAUGUGAUCUCAUUUAAUUGUUGGUAAUGCGCAGUUGGGCCAACAUUGGGUCAUUAUUUUUACAUGCUACGAAUUAUGACAGAGUUAAAACAAACAAACAGAUAACAUAAACACAACCACAAAAAUUUAAGGUAUAGGUUGGUAAAUAAGUGAUUUGCUCUGUUAAUUUUGAUUGCAAUUAUAAGGAAUUUAUAGUGUCUUAAUUAUGUUUGAACACAUGAAAAUGUUGAUUAAAACGUUUGCAUGUAUAACUAGUUGAGUUUAAUCUAUUUCUCUUACUUUGGAAUACAUAACAUAUGAUACAUUGUAUGCAUAUAGAUCUCAGUAAUUUGGGAUGAAAAAUAGUUAAUAUAUGUUAUUGAUAUAAAAAGUUUUAAACUGUCAAACAUUGGCCCAACGUUGGUUCGUUGUUAGAUUUUAAACCCGACAAUGAAUUUUUUUAUUUUUAGAGAAAUUUAGUGGAGGAUUGUAAAUUGUAUUGGGCUUAGUUAUUUAAAACUGUUGGGUCAUAGAUAUUGGCCAUUGUUGCUCUGUUGAGGGAUGUUUAUUGUUUAUAUAAAUCUGAUGAGCUAGCUGUAUGUACAUGUGUAGCUGGAGCGCCUAUUGCAUAACGAAUCUUAAAGUGUCGAAAUUAAGAGGCAGACGGAGCUCCUUUACUGCCCAAGUAUCUGGGUCAGUGCUUCUCACAGCAUGGGUCUGGCCAGUUUCCUUGGAGAUCGGUCAUCUGAUAUAACCAGGAUGGUCAAAACUGCCACUUUUUAUUUCAAAUAUAUUGCAACCGUUGUGCGUGUACACCUAUAGUAAAUAGUGCUUUUUCUACUGUACAAAUUAUACAUUAGAAGAUUUGGGAUAUAUAUGCUACAAAAACCGCAGUAAGAAAAAAACAGACUGUGUGCCUCUGCAACAGAUGUAGAGAUAGGGAAUUAGGACAGGUUCCGUUUUUCAAAGACCGUGAAGGUGAAGGGAAAAAAGGGAAGAAAGAAAAAAAGCAAGGAGGUAACCCAAGCCACUGAAGCCAGUGACCCGGACAGUGAUCAGACCCUACAGUUCGAUUGUUACUAAGGAAUUUACAUAGACAAAGAAAUAUGCUAGCGAUUCUUUUUAAUUCUAAAAAGUGUUUAAAUGUAUUGUAAAUUUUUACUAAGAAAGAAUAAAAUCUGUAUACUAUGUUUUCGUUGCAUAGAAUAUUUGAACUCCUGCAUCUUAAUAGCCAAAAAGCAACAGGAAUUAAUUGGGACAUGAGUGUUGAAUUUAAAUUGGGAUUACAUUGAAUAAGUGCCGACAUGCUACGUUUAGCCAUUGGAAGUUUGAUCGUUGUCACUACGUUAGCCCUCACCUGUUUACUAGGAUGGACCAACGUUGACAGAGGACGUUGGGCCAAUGUAAUUUUCCUCGUAAUAUUUACGUUGGGCCAACGUUGACCCUCAGUUGUUAACUAAGUUGGACCAAUGUUGGCGGGCUACGUUGGGCCAAUGUAAAUUUGCUCAUCGGCCCUACGUUGGUCUAACAUGUUGGACCAACGUAGGCCCAACAUGUUGGGCCAACAAAGGGCCACAGUGCACUUAUACAUUGCGCCAAUGUUAUCUUGCCAACGUUGGGCCAACAAAGUGUGUUACAUUGGGCCAACGUUGUCCCAACAUAUGCAUGCUAUCUGGGUCGAGAAAUCGGAAGAAUACUGUCUUUUGUUUUAUAUAUUUUAAACAUAGUUGGUACUUAAGAUUACCAAUUUCUUUUUAUUUUUUCUCAGUUAAGCUUCGCUAAUUAAUAAUCAACGAAAAUUCCUCAAAAAUUCCCGGAAAUCACUUGGAUUUUUUGGAUUUUACAAUCUUGCGCUUGCGCAAUACAUUCACGCUAACGGGAUCUUUAGUUUACGUUUCCACAAUAUCACAUCUGCAUGAAUAAACUCAGAAAUGAUAAAACAUAUACGGGUAAAUUUUCAUUGGACUUUUGCUAUAUAUUCUGUUCAUAUAUAUUAAUGAUUUCUUAUGAGAGAAAGUAUAAAAUAACAAAUAUACAUUUCAAGUACAUGUAAGUACUUAAUUACUUUUGUCUUCGUGAUGACAAAAAAUAUUUGAUUACAUAAAAAGUUACAUUAUAUUUGUUAGAGUGAAGAUAGAAUAUGUUUUAUCGUAAAAAUGAAUAAUGUCCUACGGACCCAGUUUUACAAAGAAAAUACGUGUACAUUGGUGAAAAAGUGUUGAAUUCUUCCAUUCUGUGGAUUAAAAUUUUUAGAGAAAAGGUAUUUGCAGUCUGAAAAAGGUUUGUUGUGAUGAAUUUGACUGUUAUUUUCAAGGCAACUUCAUUAACUUUAUCCAUAAUCGUUCCGGAGCGAUUCUGCAAUUUUCUGCUACAUUACGGGUAUAACGGAGGCAUUCUAACUGUGGGGAGUGCCUUUCCCUAGACACAGUUAGAUUUACCAAACUAAGGAAAGUGUAGUGAAAUUAAUACCAUUAUUGUAGGCUUAUAGCUUUGUUAUGCAAAUUUCAAUAAUAAACUGUGUCGAUGUACCUAUUCGUAAGUGUCCGAUAUGCAAUGUCAACCCGUGCACGCACGGGUCAAAGUCUAGUCUAAUAU